GUCUAUGGCCGUACCAUCCAAAAGGUGCCUGAUUGUGUCUGAUCUCAGAAGUUAAGUCAGGCCUGGUUAGUACUUAGAUGGGGGGAAGUGCGCUGGGAAUGAAUGAAAGAGAGAGGAUUAACUCAGUCUUUAUAUAUC
rnacentral:rRNA from 1 species